rnacentral:rRNA from 2 species
AGGGAAUAUUGCGCAAUGGACGGAAGUCUGACGCAGCGACGCCGCGUGAGCGAUGAAGGCCUUCGGGUCGUAAAGCUCUGUCCUUGGGGAAGAAGGUCUUCGGACUUGACGGUACCCAAGAAGAAAGCCCCGGCUAACUACGUUCCAGCAGCCGCGGUAAUACGUAGGGGGCGAGCGUUGUCCGGAAUUACUGGGCGUAAAGGGUGCGUAGGCGGCCCUUUAAGUCAGAUGUGAAAGGCCACGGCUUAACCGUGGGAUUGCAUUUGAAACUGGAGGGCUUGAGUGUCGGAGAGGGUAGUGGAAUUCCCAGUGUAGCGGUGAAAUGCGUAGAUAUUGGGAGGAACACCAGUGGCGAAGGCGACUACCUGGCCGAUAACUGACGCUGAGGCACGAAAGCUAUGGGAGCAAACA